AUGAACGCUGACAGAAUGCUUAACACAUGCAAGUCUUUGGCGAAUCUGUGCUUGCACAGGCUAGCCAAGGCGGACGGGUGAGUAACGCGUAAAGAACUUGCCCUGCAGACAGGGAUAACAGACGGAAACGACUGAUAACACCUGAUACAGUUGCCGGCACGCAUGUGCCUGGCAAUGAAAAGAGAUGCUGCAGGAGAGCUUUGCGUCCUAUUAGCUUGUUGGUGAGGUGACGGCUCACCAAGGCGAUGAUAGGUAGCCGGCCUGAGAGGGUGAACGGCCACAAGGGGACUGAGAUACGGCCCUUACUCCUACGGGAGGCAGCAGUGGGGAAUAUUGGACAAUGGGGGCAACCCUGAUCCAGCAAUUCUGUGUGCACGAAGAAGGUUUUCGGAUUGUAAAGUGCUUUCAGCAGGGAAGAAGAAAGUGACGGUACCCGCAGAAGAAGCGACGGCUAAAUACGUG
rnacentral:rRNA from 1 species